AUUGAACGCUGGCGGCAUGCUUUACACAUGCAAGUCGAACGGCAGCGCGGGCUUCGUCCUGGCGGCGAGUGGCGAACGGGUGGGUAAUGCACCGGAACGUGCCCAGCAGUGGGGGAUAGCCCGGCGAAAGCCGGAUUAAUACCGCAUACGACCUGAGGGUGAAAGCGGGGGACCGAAAGGCCUCGCGCGAUUGGAGCGGCCGAUGUCGGAUUAGCUAGUUGGUGGGGUAAAGGCUUACCAAGGCGACGAUCCGUAGCUGGUCUGAGAGGACGACCAGCCACACUGGAACUGAGACACGGCCCAGACUCCUACGGGAGGCAGCAGUGGGGAAUUUUGGACAAUGGGGGCAACCCUGAUCCAGCCAUGCCGCGUGCGGGAAGAAGGCCUUCGGGUUGUAAACCGCUUUUGUUCGGGAAGAAAUCCUCUGGGCUAAUACCCCGGGGGGAUGACGGUACCGGAAGAAUAAGCACCGGCUAACUACGUG
rnacentral:rRNA from 1 species